UACACCAGUUCCUAUAUGAUCACCGAAAUUAAGCAAUGUUGAGCCUGGUCAGAAGCUAGAUGAGUGACUGCUUGGGAAUACCAGAUGUUGCAAG